rnacentral:rRNA from 1 species
CCUACGGGUGGCAGCAGUGGGGGAUAUUGCUCAAUGGGGGAAACCCUGACGCAGCGACGCCGCGUGGGGGAUGGAGGUUUUCGGCUCGUAAACCCCUUUUGGCAGGGAAGAAGAUGACGGUAUCUGACCACCAAUCCCCGGCUAACGCCGUCCCAGCAGCCGCGGUAAUACGGAGGGUGCAAGCGGUAGUCGGAAUCACUGGGCGUAAAGGGCGCGUAGACGGGAUUGCAAGUCAGGUGUGAAAGCCUGUGGCUCAACCCUAGAACUGCAUUUGAAACUGGGAGUCUGGAGUACGGGAGAGGUAGGUGGAAUUCGUGGUGUAGCGGUGAAAUGCGUAGAUAUCAAGAGGAACACCGAUGGCGAAGGCGGCCUGCUAGACUGUAACUGACGUUGAUGCGCGAAAGCGUGGGGAGCAAACAGGAUUAGAUACCCUUGUAGUC